ACUGGUAAUUACCACUAGCGAGGUAUAGAGUUCCUACGUAUGCUAACACUGUAGGAACUUCAUACCGUGCUCUUGGGUUUGCCAAAUUUC
rnacentral:pre_miRNA from 9 species